CCUGCCCAGAAGCGGGGGAUAACACCUGGAAACAGAUGCUAAUACCGCAUAACAACUUGGACCGCAUGGUCCGAGUUUGAAAGAUGGCUUCGGCUAUCACUUUUGGAUGGUCCCGCGGCGUAUUAGCUAGAUGGUGAGGUAACGGCUCACCAUGGCAAUGAUACGUAGCCGACCUGAGAGGGUAAUCGGCCACAUUGGGACUGAGACACGGCCCAAACUCCUACGGGAGGCAGCAGUAGGGAAUCUUCCACAAUGGACGAAAGUCUGAUGGAGCAACGCCGCGUGAGUGAAGAAGGGUUUCGGCUCGUAAAACUCUGUUGUUAAAGAAGAACAUAUCUGAGAGUAACUGUUCAGGUAUUGACGGUAUUUAACCAGAAAGCCACGGCUAACUACGUGCCAGCAGCCGCGGUAAUACGUAGGUGGCAAGCGUUGUCCGGAUUUAUUGGGCGUAAAGCGAGCGCAGGCGGUUUUUUAAGUCUGAUGUGAAAGCCUUCGGCUCAACCGAAAGAAGUGCAUCGGAAACUGGGGAACUUGAGUGCAGAAGAGGACAGUGGAACUCCAUGUGUAGCGGUGAAAUGCGUAGAUAUAUGGAAGAACACCAGU
rnacentral:rRNA from 1 species